AGUCAGGUGGUGUAAUAGGUAGCACUCGGUGAGGUAGUCGUAGAAAUAUAGACCCAAUCUGAUGCGCAGGUUCGAGUCCUGCCCUGACUA
rnacentral:tRNA from 1 species